rnacentral:lncRNA from 1 species
GCUUUUGGAAGUGGUAUGGGUAUUGCAAGGAACCCAGAAAGACACCCAAAGCCAGAAUCAUUGCUGCAUUCAGGAUCUGGAUGGCCCCAAGAACUUGUAAUUUUGCUUUCUGAUAAUCUGGUGAUCCAUCUAUGGGCUGGUAGACAGAAGUAUUCAGCUCUUCUGGUCCCGCCUCACUGCCUGGGGUACCAUGGGCAGAGGCUGACCCCAGCUCUGCAUUAUCAACUUCGUGGGAGGCCAUUGGGGUUGUUUAUGGCUUGGAGGCU